UUGGAGGGCAAGUCUGGUGCCAGCAGCCGCGGUAAUUCCAGCUCCAAUAGCGUAAAUUAAAGUUGUUGCAGUUAAAAAGCUCGUAGUUGAAUUUUAGGCCUGGCCAGGCGGUCCGUCUUUGGCGAGUACUGUCUUGUUGUCGGGUCUUCCUUCUGGUGAACCAGUAUGUCCUUUAUUGGGUGUGUUGGGGAGCCAGGACCAUUACCUUGAAAAAAUUAGAGUGUUUAAAGCGGGCUAUUGCUUGAAUAGAUUAGCAUGGAAUAAUAGAAUAGGACGUUGUGGUUCUAUUUUGUUGGUUUCUAGGACCACCGUAAUGAUUAAUAGGGAUAGUUGGGGGCAUUAGUAUUCAAUUGUCAGAGGUGAAAUUCUUGGAUUCAUUGAAGACUAACUAUUGCGAAAGCAUUUGCCAAGGAUGUUUUCAUUAAUCAAGAACGAAAGUUAGGGGAUCGAAGACGAUCAGAUACCGUCGUAGUCUUAACCAUAAACUAUGCCGACUAGGAAUCGGGCGUUGUUAUUUUAAUGACUCGUUCGGCGCCUUACGGGAAAC
rnacentral:rRNA from 1 species